rnacentral:rRNA from 1 species
GAUGAACGCUGGCGGCGUGCCUAAUACAUGCAAGUCGAGCGAACGGACGAGAAGCUUGCUUCUCUGAUGUUAGCGGCGGACGGGUGAGUAACACGUGGAUAACCUACCUAUAAGACUGGGAUAACUUCGGGAAACCGGAGCUAAUACCGGAUAAUAUUUUGAACCGCAUGGUUCAAAAGUGAAAGACGGUCUUGCUGUCACUUAUAGAUGGAUCCGCGCUGCAUUAGCUAGUUGGUAAGGUAACGGCUUACCAAGGCAACGAUGCAUAGCCGACCUGAGAGGGUGAUCGGCCACACUGGAACUGAGACACGGUCCAGACUCCUACGGGAGGCAGCAGUAGGGAAUCUUCCGCAAUGGGCGAAAGCCUGACGGAGCAACGCCGCGUGAGUGAUGAAGGUCUUCGGAUCGUAAAACUCUGUUAUUAGGGAAGAACAUAUGUGUAAGUAACUGUGCACAUCUUGACGGUACCUAAUCAGAAAGCCACGGCUAACUACGUGCCAGCAGCCGCGGUAAUACGUAGGUGGCAAGCGUUAUCCGGAAUUAUUGGGCGUAAAGCGCGCGUAGGCGGUUUUUUAAGUCUGAUGUGAAAGCCCACGGCGUCAACCGUGGAGGGUCAUUGGAAACUGGAAAACUUGAGUGCAGAAGAGGAAAGUGGAAUUCCAUGUGUAGCGGUGAAAUGCGCAGAGAUAUGGAGGAACACCAGUGGCGAAGGCGACUUUCUGGUCUGUAACUGACGCUGAUGUGCGAAAGCGUGGGGACCAAACAGGAUUAGAUACCCUGGUAGUCCACGCCGUAAACGAUGAGUGCUAAGUGUUAGGGGGUUUCCGCCCCUUAGUGCUGCAGCUAACGCAUUAAGCACUCCGCCUGGGGAGUACGACCGCAAGGUUGAAACUCAAAGGAAUUGACGGGGACCCGCACAAGCGGUGGAGCAUGUGGUUUAAUUCGAAGCAACGCGAAGAACCUUACCAAAUCUUGACAUCCUUUGACAACUCUAGAGAUAGAGCCUUCCCCUUCGGGGGACAAAGUGACAGGUGGUGCAUGGUUGUCGUCAGCUCGUGUCGUGAGAUGUUGGGUUAAGUCCCGCAACGAGCGCAACCCUUAAGCUUAGUUGCCAUCAUUAAGUUGGGCACUCUAAGUUGACUGCCGGUGACAAACCGGAGGAAGGUGGGGAUGACGUCAAAUCAUCAUGCCCCUUAUGAUUUGGGCUACACACGUGCUACAAUGGACAAUACAAAGGGCAGCGAAACCGCGAGGUCAAGCAAAUCCCAUAAAGUUGUUCUCAGUUCGGAUUGUAGUCUGCAACUCGACUACAUGAAGCUGGAAUCGCUAGUAAUCGUAGAUCAGCAUGCUACGGUGAAUACGUUCCCGGGUCU